CUGCCUUUGAUCUGUAUGCUUUUUCACAAUGAUGGCACUUCAUUGCUAUUUUCUCCAGCUCAGAUGCAGUCUUCCCACAUUUUUUAAUGUGAUACAGGUAUCCCAUUAUGCUAGUGAAGCUGCCUGUGCAGCCCUCCCUUGUACACUUCAGCUUUCCCAUACGCUUCAAAACCUUCCGAAGGCGGUCUCGCUCAAGCUGCUCAUCCAAUUCUCCUCCUUCCUUCACGACUGGCUGACUGUUGUGGUCUGCCAUGACAUGGUAUUUCAUUCCUCCUAAAGACUUCAGCUGUUUCCCACAAUGAUGACAUGUGAAUGUUUCCUGUCUGCAAUUUGCCAUAUGUUUCUUCAGUCCUUCUACAGUCUUUCUCACCACAGCCCGGCACGUAGGACAAGUAACUCGACCUUUGUCCUGAAUUUCCAAAGACCACUGCUCUUCUCUACUACCUGUGCCAUAGGUUUCUGGUUCCUUCCGAACAUAGUGGCUUUUUGUUUUGGAGUUCUGUUGUGCUCCCAAUUGCCGCUUUUUUCCAGAAAUCUUCUGCUUCUUCUUGGGAGGGUCUUUAAGAUCUUCACUUUCCCGGUGCACAGAUUUCCUCUUGCCUUUCAAAAGCACUUCUGCUUUUUCAUCUGAAGAUUUGUUCACAUUGUUUUUUAUGCCCC
rnacentral:lncRNA from 1 species